rnacentral:rRNA from 1 species
AGAGUUUGAUCAUGGCUCAGAGUGAACGCUAGUGGCGUGCUUAACACAUGCAAGUCAAACGGACGAUAUUUGUGCUUGCACAAAUAAAGUUAGUGGCAAACGGGUGAGUAAUACAUGGGAAUUUUCCUUGCAGUACGGAAUAACUAUUGGAAACAGUAGCUAAUACCGUAUAUUGCCGAGAGGUGAAAGAUUUAUCGCUGCAAGAUAAGCCCAUGCAAGAUUAGCUUGUUGGUAAGGUAAUGGCUUACCAAGGCUACGAUCUUUAGCUGGUUUGAGAGGAUGAUCAGCCACACUGGAACUUAGACACGGUCCAGACUCCUACGGGAGGCAGCAGUGGGGAAUAUUGGACAAUGGGCGAAAGCCUGAUCCAGCGACGUCACGUGAAUGAUGAAGGCCUUAGGGUUGUAAAAUUCUUUUAGUGGAGAAGAUAAUGACAGUAUCCACAGAAAAAGUCCCGGCUAACUUCGUGCCAGCAGCCGCGGUAAU